rnacentral:rRNA from 1 species
GCCUAACACAUGCAAGUCGAACGAGUAAGAGCCGUAGCAAUACGGAGUUCUGCUAGUGGCGCACGGGUGAGUAACGCGUGGGAAACUGCCUUUUAGUAUGGAACAACAGCGGGAAACUGCUGCUAAUACCGUAUACGCCCUCCGGGGGAAAGAUUUAUCGCUAAAAGAUGUGCCCGCGUCAGAUUAGGUAGUUGGUGGGGUAAUGGCCUACCAAGCCGACGAUCUGUAGCUGGUCUGAGAGGAUGAUCAGCCACACUGGGACUGAGACACGGCCCAGACUCCUACGGGAGGCAGCAGUGGGGAAUAUUGGACAAUGGGGGAAACCCUGAUCCAGCAAUGCCGCGUGAGUGAUGAAGGCCUUAGGGUUGUAAAGCUCUUUCGAUAGGGAAGAUAAUGACGGUACCUAUAGAAGAAGCCCCGACUAACUUCGUGCCAGCAGCCGCCGUAAUAC